CUGGGUGGCUCAGUUGGUUGAGUGUCCAACUUCGGCUCAGGUCCUGAUCUCACCCUUUGUGAGUUGGGGCCCUGCAGAGGGCUGUGUGCUAACAGCUCAGAGCCUGGAGCCUGCUUCAGAUUCUGUGUCUCCCUCUCUCUGCCCCUCCCCCACUCAUGUUCUGUCUCUUUC